UCAUUCCAGUGAUUCAUGGUUUGCUCAUAUACUACAAUUUGAGCACUGUAUCAUGGGUCUUUCAUUUAGGCCAUGUUUAGAUAAGUGGAAUCCAAGGCAAGAGAAGGGAAAAUUAAAUAAAUAAUUAUCCGAUGAUGAUUUCCAUGGGAACCAUUGAAACAUGGAUUCCAACUUUGAGUUCUUGUUUGUGUAGCAAGUGGAAAUCCCAUAUUCCUCUCACAAAAUCCAUCUAGUUUUUGUGCUAAGAAUCCAAAUAAUGGAAGUGUAAUGAUUUCUUGGUAGAAUCCCACUCUUUUCUUUGCUAUUCAAACAACAUGAAUAGUCACUUCAAAGGAAAACCCGUUUCCACUGUUUGGCAUGGAAUCCAUGGUUUCCAAACAUAGCCUUACUCAUUCUCUUCAUGUUCAUCAUGAUGUUAUUGUACUUUGUAUUAUAACAAAAAUAAUUUAACGGUUUGUCCUUAACUUUCAUGCUUUCAGAGUAAUGACCUCUUUGGGCUGUUCUUGGAUGAAACAAUGACCUAUUCAUGCGCUAUAUUUAAGAGUGAGGUUGAAGAUUUAAAGGUCGUACAGCUACGGAAAAUCUCUCCUGAUUGAAAAGGCCAGAAUCAAUGCUAGCCACGAAAUUCUUGAGAUUAGUUGUGGUUGGGGAAGCCUAGCUAUAGAGGUUGUCAAGAGAACUGGUUGUAAAUACACAAGCAUCACAUUGUCUGAGGAGCAGCUGAAAUAUGCAGAAAGGAAAGUGAAAGAAGCUGGCCUCCAAGUAGUUUAUUUUAUUCAAAAUUCUAUUUACAAAAUUGUGAUCUCAGUGAAAAUGGAUUACUAACCAAAUGCUCAAAGAUUGAUUGAUCCCUUUAUUUUUAUUUUUUAGUUGUAUUUAAAUGGAAUCUAUAGAUGAAGAAUACUCAUGGAUACUGUUUUCUUGAAAAU